AGUCCAGUCAGCUUCAUUGAUGUACUUUGGCUUCUUAUGUUGCCUCUUCUUCUUGCUUAUCCUUUCACCAAUGGUUGUCCACGUUUCUUUCUUCCAAAGACCGUAGACUAAGUCAUUAAACUCAGGGUCCCAAUAGAAAUUUUGCUACAAAAGAAAGAAAAACAGUUAGCGAUUUUAAAACAUGUUAACAGCAUAUACAAUGUAUACUAGUCACUUACCACAAAGGUUUGCCACCAUGAUUCCCUCCUUUCAUCAGGAACCGUCCUCCAACUCUUCCAAGGCCCCAUGUAGUAUGCUUGCCAAGUUGCCCGAAUGAAAGAGUUGACACAUGGGUCAAUACCAAACCUAAAUCGAUAACCAACAUCAGUAACAGAAACAAUACAUCACAAAAAAUCCUAAAAAAUAAACAAUCAUCGCUAACAAUCCUAAACAGAAACUAUCCUAAGCAAUCACAGCCAUAAAACAAUUAACAUAAACUAUUUUAGUCUAAGAAAGAGAUGGAGACCAAAUGUAAUCUUACCAUAAAGCUCCAUUGAUUUUAUCUGGAUGGAGAUGAGGCUGUGCUAGCCUAGCAGGUGAAUUGAGCAUGGCAUUGAGAGUCAUCUGCGGGUAGCUAUUGGAACGAGAAGAGGAAGCAGCACGGUUCGAAGCCGGUCCAGUAGC
rnacentral:lncRNA from 1 species